UAGGGUUAAAUUAGUACAUCCAGCUGACCCCAGAUGACAUAACCACUCCCCAGACAGCAGAAUUUCCACCACAAUUGGCGUCACGAACAGGAUCCGUGUGAAUCCGCCAGGACCUGAUCGGAGGGGCUGAUCACCCUGGGUCACCAAGAUCCAUCUCCAAAACCUCGUCUUAGAGUUUCAGAGUGACUGGGACUGCGGUCAGUGUCCUUGGCCGAUUCCGCCGGGAUUUUUCUCUUUUCUGUCGUCUGGGGACACGAACAGGGGCGCGCGGGUCGACCUGAGUUUGGACUCCACCCCUCCGCUUUACCCCCAACAGCAACUCCU
ensembl:lncRNA